GACGGCAAGGGUGAAAUGGUGAGGUAAGAGCUCACCGCGGACGUGGCGACACGGCCGGCACGCCAAACCCCAUCCGGAGCAACAUCGAAUAGGCACGCGCGCGGCUUUCGGGCCGCGCAGGGCGGCCCGCCCGAGCGUGCGGGUAGAUGGCUCGAGCGGCCGGGCAACCGGUCGCCCAGACGAAUGAUCGUCACGCCGGUGUUCCGGCGCACAGAAUCCGGCCUACAGGCCCGCUCCACUU
rnacentral:RNase_P_RNA from 1 species